CAUGUGGUUUAAUUCGAUGCAACGCGAAGAACCUUACCUGGUCUUGACAUCCACAGAAGUUUUCAGAGAUGAGAAGGUGCCUUCGGGAACUGUGAGACAGGUGCUGCAUGGCUGUCGUCAGAUCGUGUUGUGAAAUGUUGGGUUAAGUCCCGCAACGAGCGCAACCCUUAUCCUUUGUUACCAGCGGUCCGGCCGGGAACUCAAAGGAGACUGCCAGUGAUAAACUGGAGGAAGGUGGGGAUGACGUCAAGUCAUCAUGGCCCUUACGACCAGGGCUACACACGUGCUACAAUGGCGCAUACAAAGAGAAGCGACCUCGCGAGAGCAAGCGGACCUCAUAAAGUGCGUCGUAGUCCGGAUUGGAGUCUGCAACUCGACUCCAUGAAGUCGGAAUCGCUAGUAAUCGUGGAUCAGAAGGCCACGGUGAAUACGUUCCCGGGCCUUGUACACACCUCCCGGCGCACCAUGGGAGUGGGUGC
rnacentral:rRNA from 1 species